UUUUCCAUAGUGGCUUGUGAGAUUUUAGUUCCCUGAUCAGGAAUUGAACCCGGGCCCUUGCAGAGAGUGCAGAGUCCUCUCCACUGGCCCACCAUGGAAUUUCCUUGACAUUGUCUUUUGCAAAGCUUAUUAACUGUCUCUUUCAUGGAUCAUGUUUUUGGUGUUGUAUAUAAAAUGU